UGGGGAAUAUUGCACAAUGGGCGAAAGCCUGAUGCAGCCAUGCCGCGUGUGUGAAGAAGGCUCUAGGGUUGUAAAGCACUUUCAAUGAGGAGGAACGGUUUGUAGUUAAUACCUGCAAGCUUUGACGUUACUCAUAGAAGAAGCACCGGCUAACUCCGUGCCAGCAGCCGCGGUAAUACGGAGGGUGCAAGCGUUAAUCGGAAUUACUGGGCGUAAAGCGCGCGUAGGUGGAUGAUUAAGUUGGAUGUGAAAGCCCAGGGCUUAACCUUGGAAUUGCAUUCAAUACUGGUCAUCUAGAGUACAGUAGAGGAGGGUAGAAUUUCUUGUGUAGCAGUGAAAUGCGUAGAUAUAAGAAGGAAUACCAGUGGCGAAGGCGGCCCUCUGGACUGAUACUGACGCUGAGGUGCGAAAGCGUGGGGAGCAAACG
rnacentral:rRNA from 1 species